GGGGGAAUAUUGCACAAUGGAGGGAACCCUGAUGCAGCGACGCCGCGUGAACGAAGAAGGCUUUCGAGUCGUAAAGUUCUUUUAUAUGGGAAGAUAAUGACGGUACCAUAAGAAAAAGCCCCGGCUAACUACGUGCCAGCAGCCGCGGUAAUACGUAGGGGGCUAGCGUUGUCCGGAAUCACUGGGCGUAAAGGGUUCGCAGGCGGAAAUGCAAGUCAGGUGUAAAAGGCAGUAGCUUAACUACUGUAAGCAUUUGAAACUGCAUAUCUUGAGAAGAGUAGGGGUAAGUGGAAUUUUUAGUGUAGCGGUGAAAUGCGUAGGUAUUAAAAAGAAUACCGGUGGCGAAGGCGACUUACCGGGCUCAUUCUGACGCUGAGGAACGAAAGCGUGGGUAGCAAACAGG
rnacentral:rRNA from 1 species